AUGAUCAGAUGUUCUCAUUUGACUCCUAAGUCAAUAUACUCAUAUAUAGAUGACCUAGUCAUUGCCAAUUGCUUGAUAGAUGCUAGAGUGUUUGUGCAUGCUUUGCCACAUAUUACAUUUGCUAUCUUAUUGUGUGAGCAUGUUGGUUGGAUAAUUUUAUUCAUUCAAGGACAUCCAUUUGUUGCUUUGAUUGUUUGGCUUUCUUCUUCUUCUUGCCAAAUGGAUGGGCAAGAAUGCCUAAGUACUCCCUCUAGCUAUCUAUGCUUUUAUCAUCUCAAACUCUAUUCAUGCUACAUUACAAAGUUUGAUCAAGUCAGAUUUGAACCCUUUGGGUGA
rnacentral:rRNA from 1 species